rnacentral:rRNA from 1 species
UACGAAGGGGGCUAGCGUUGUUCGGAAUUACUGGGCGUAAAGCGCACGUAGGCGGAUACUUAAGUCAGGGGUGAAAUCCCGGGGCUCAACCCCGGAACUGCCUUUGAUACUGGGUAUCUCGAGUCCGGAAGAGGUGAGUGGAAUUCCGAGUGUAGAGGUGAAAUUCGUAGAUAUUCGGAGGAGCACCAGUGGCGAAGGCGGCUCACUGGUCCGGUACUGACGCUGAGGUGCGAAAGCGUGGGGAGCGAUCCGG